rnacentral:tRNA from 1 species
GGAGUCAUAGCUCAGUGGUAGAGCCCUUGCCUAGCAUGUGUGAGGCCCUGGGUUCCAUUCUCAGCUCCA